CCUACGGGAGGCAGCAGUGAGGAAUAUUGGUCAAUGGGCGGGAGCCUGAACCAGCCAAGCCGCGUGAGGGAAGAAGGUACAGCGUAUCGUAAACCUCUUUUGUCAGGGAACAAAGGCGGGGACUAGUCCCCGGAUGAGGGUACCUGAAGAAAAAGCAUCGGCAAACUCCGGGCAAGCAGCCGCGGUAAUACGGAGGAUGCGAGCGUUAUCCGGAUUUAUGGGGUUUAAGGGGUGCGCAGGCGGACUGUUAAGUCAGCGGGAAAAGCCCGGGGCUCAACCCCGGCGAGCCGUUGAAACUGGGGGGCUGGAGUGGGAGAGAAGUACGCGGAAUGCGCGGUGUAGCGGUGAAAUGCGUAGAUAUCGCGCAGAACCCCGAUGGCGAAGGCAGCGUACCGGUUCCACACUGACGCUGAGGCACGAAAGCGUGGGUAUCGAACAGGAUUAGAUACCCCAGUAGUC
rnacentral:rRNA from 1 species